rnacentral:lncRNA from 1 species
GAAGGGUGCCUGGCUGGCUCAGUCAAACAGCAUGUGACUCUUGAUCUCAGGGUUCCGAGUUCAAGCCCCAUGUUCGAUGUAUAUAUUAUCAAAAAUUAUUAAAUUAUUUUAUAAAUUAUAAAAUUAUGUUUAAAAUUAUUUUUAAAUAAAUCAUUAAAAAUAAAAACUUUUAAAAGUCUGAGGUCUUAGGAGAUAGGCUAUAUAUACAUAUAUAUAUGUAUAAUAUAUAUGUAUAUAUGUAGGAAAUUGAAAUGAGGCUUUUAAAAAGGGAAAAGGAUAUAUGUACCCAGGUCUAACAACUGAGACCACUGCUGAGGAGAGACAAAUCUUUGUUUAUCAAAGUCAUGGUGGCUACCUUCCAUCAUCUUUACCCAGCAAAGAUGAUUUCUAAAGCACUGAGUUAGCUUAAAGAAAAUCCCGGAGGGAAAAAAAAAAAAAGGAAAAAGAAAAACCCGGAGAACAAUACCCACAAGGUUGGUAGGCAAACACGUUAGUUGAGCCUCAGACAUUCCUCAAAAAUAUUUCCUGGGCCAGGAAGCCUCAUUGUUACAUUAAAAAAAUAAGAUUCCCUUUUAUCCUAGCCUAUAUACAUGUUAAAAUAACACAUCCAUGACAGUGGACUUUCCUGUGUGCUCGUACACAUCCUUCAGUGGAAUAGCUCUUCCACGGUUAUGGGGUCUCAAAGGGCCCUGUGACUUCUGCUAUUCCUUUGAGUAUAAGAUAAUAUUCUCAAUAGGGAUGCCUGGGUGCUCAAGGGCUGAGUGUCUGCCUUCAGCUCAGGGCAUGAUCCCAGUCCUGGAAUGGAGUCCUACAUUGGGCUCCCCACAAGGAGCCUGCUUCUCCUUCUGUCUAGAAUAUCUAGAUAUCUUUAAUAUCUAAAGAAUUACUCAGUAAGUUUCAGGAUGACAGGUUUUAGAGACAAUAAGAUGUAAUUGUCUGUACCCAAAGAAAUAUGCUAGCCAAAUUUAUGGGAUUAUGGCUCAAAGGAGAGGCAUAGCAAAGAUGAACCAUAUGAAAGGACAUGCAGCCAUGGCAGCAAUACAGUCUGGUUUUGAUGGGAAAAUAUCUCGAGUGGGACCAUGCAUUUUAAGGAGGCAAAAGUGGACAAGAUUUCUCUGCAUGGUGGAUGCUUUAGGAAGAAUCACAAUUUAUGUUCCAUAUAACUCACUAUGGAAGACCCCCGCAAGACAGAACCUAGAAGAACAUGAUUUUUUAAGAUGUCAAAGCCAAAAGGCAAAGAGCAAGUAAAAGGGAAGAAAGCACUCAGAUCCAGCACACAGAGAAGGAGAAAAGGAGGAAAAACGUGAGGAGAAAAUUCAACCAUUAGAAACUUAACCAAGCCUUUUGGGAAAAGACUGGGAGGGUGAUGCUUGAAAAACAUAGCAAUUCAAAGCCUGGAACCUUCCAAGUCUUAGGUAAAAAUAGUACCGUCAUUAACAUCAUGAUGGGAAAGUCUUUAAUUUGUAGUUUCAUUUAUCCCCUCCUGACCUCUGUGCUACUAUUGUCAUAUACUUCACUUCUACACUGUCAUUCAUCUCAUUCUUAUUAUUCCUUUAAAACCACUAAAUAUCUUUUAAAGAGUUUAAAUACUAAGAAAAAAAUCUUGUCCAUUUAUCCAUUGAGUUACUUUUUGGGUGCUCUUCAUGUCUUUGUGUAGACUCAUAUUUCCAUCAGGUAUCAUUUUCCCUUCUGCCUGAAGGAAAUUUUUUAACAUUUCGCACAGUGUCAGUUCUGGGUUGAUUUUGAUGGAUGGAUUUUUUUCCUCUCAUUAUGGGUUGUAUUUUCCUGCUUCUUUGCACACCUGGUAAUAUUUGAUUGGAUGCCAGACAUUGUGAGUUUUACCUUUUUGGGAGCUGUAUAUUUUUGUGUUCCUAUAAAUAUUCUUGAACUUUGUUCUGGGACACAGUUACUUGGAAACAGUUUCAUCCUUUUGGGUUUUCCUUUUUGAUUUGCUGGGCAGGUCCAGAGCAGUGUUUAGUCUAGAGCUAAUUCUUCCCCCACUAUUGAGGCAAGACCCUUCUGAGUACUCUACUCACAAUGCCUUGUGAAUUAUGCAGUUUUCCAAUCUCACUGAUUGGGAGCAGGCACUAUCCUGGCCCUGUAUGAGAGGCAAGCACCAUUAUUUCCAAUCCUUUUGGGUGGUUCUUUCCUUGGCCUUGUUAUUUUCCCUUUUUUAUUAUUAUUUUUUAAAAUUUUUAUUUAUUUAUUCAUGAGAGACACAGAGAGAGAAAGAGGCAGAGACAUAGGCAGAGAGAGAAGCAGGCUCCAUGCCGGAAGCCUGAUGUGGAACUCAAUCCUGGGUCUCCAGGAUCACGCUCUGGGCCGAAGGCAGACGCUCCACCACUGAGCCACCCAGGUGUCCCCCUUUUUUUAUUUUUUAAAUAUUUUAUUUAUUUAUUCAUGAGAGAGAGAGAGAGAGGCAGAGAUACAGGCAGAGAGAGAAGCAGACUCCCUGUGAGGAGCCUAAUGUGAGACUCGAUCCCAGGAUCCCAACCUGAGCCAAAGGCAGAUGCUCAACUACUGGAGCCUCCCAGGUGUCCAGGCCUUGAUAUUUUCUGCAUAUGCAUGUACUGUUAGGUAUUCUCCUGAAUACAUGAGGGAGAGCCUCUGAAGAUCUCCAUAGUUUGUGUUUAUGUUCAUGCUCUCUCUCAUUUCUCUUUUUUUUUCUCUCUCUCUCCAGCCUUCUCCUUGCCAGUACU